rnacentral:rRNA from 1 species
ACAGAGAGCUUGCUCUCGGGUGACGAGCGGCGGACGGGUGAGUAAUGUCUGGGAAACUGCCUGAUGGAGGGGGAUAACUACUGGAAACGGUAGCUAAUACCGCAUAACGUCGCAAGACCAAAGUGGGGGACCUUCGGGCCUCAUGCCAUCAGAUGUGCCCAGAUGGGAUUAGCUGGUAGGUGGGGUAACGGCUCACCUAGGCGACGAUCCCUAGCUGGUCUGAGAGGAUGACCAGCCACACUGGAACUGAGACACGGUCCAGACUCCUACGGGAGGCAGCAGUGGGGAAUAUUGCACAAUGGGCGCAAGCCUGAUGCAGCCAUGCCGCGUGUGUGAAGAAGGCCUUCGGGUUGUAAAGCACUUUCAGCGGGGAGGAAGGCGGUGAGGUUAAUAACCUCACCGAUUGACGUUACCCGCAGAAGAAGCACCGGCUAACUCCGUGCCAGCAGCCGCGGUAAUACGGAGGGUGCAAGCGUUAAUCGGAAUUACUGGGCGUAAAGCGCACGCAGGCGGUCUGUCAAGUCGGAUGUGAAAUCCCCGGGCUCAACCUGGGAACUGCAUUCGAAACUGGCAGGCUAGAGUCUUGUAGAGGGGGGUAGAAUUCCAGGUGUAGCGGUGAAAUGCGUAGAGAUCUGGAGGAAUACCGGUGGCGAAGGCGGCCCCCUGGACAAAGACUGACGCUCAGGUGCGAAAGCGUGGGGAGCAAACAGGAUUAGAGAUACCCUGGUAGUCCACGCUGUAAACGAUGUCGAUUUGGAGGUUGUGCCCUUGAGGCGUGGCUUCCGGAGCUAACGCGUUAAAUCGACCGCCUGGGGAGUACGGCCGCAAGGUUAAAACUCAAAUGAAUUGACGGGGGCCCGCACAAGCGGUGGAGCAUGUGGUUUAAUUCGAUGCAACGCGAAGAACCUUACCUGGUCUUGACAUCCACAGAACUUUGCAGAGAUGGUUUGGUGCCUUCGGGAACUGUGAGACAGGUGCUGCAUGGCUGUCGUCAGCUCGUGUUGUGAAAUGUUGGGUUAAGUCCCGCAACGAGCGCAACCCUUAUCCUUUGUUGCCAGCGGUUAGGCCGGGAACUCAAAGGAGACUGCCAGUGAUAAACUGGAGGAAGGUGGGGAUGACGUCAAGUCAUCAUGGCCCUUACGACCAGGGCUACACACGUGCUACAAUGGCAUAUACAAAGAGAAGCGACCUCGCGAGAGCAAGCGGACCUCAUAAAGUAUGUCGUAGUCCGGAUUGGAGUCUGCAACUCGACUCCAUGAAGUCGGAAUCGCUAGUAAUCGUAGAUCAGAAUGCUACGGUGAAUACGUUCCCGGGCCUUGUACACACCGCCCGUCACACCAUGGGAGUGGGUUGCAAAAGAAGUAGGUAGCUUAACCUU